GAUCAUCCAACCCUCCAGUUCCCAGAGUAAGAAAUUAAAUAAAUAAAAACAUUAUUGGACUUGAUAACAGGAAAACAUUACUUAACACAUAACAUAUAAUGACUCUAGGACAUAAGAUAUUGGACUCAAAUAGAAAUUUUUAUCAUAGUUUUUUUUAAUGUACCAUAUAUUUGAUAAAAGCAUAAUAAUAAAGAGAAUACCCAUAUGCCCAACCUUAUCAGAGAUUUUUAACAGUCACCUUAUUCUUUAGUGUCAGCUUAUUCUUU